GGGGGUGAUUUAGUUUCGACAGGUAUUAAAGGCUAAACUUUUGUUCGGUUGAGUGAUCCCGUGAUUCACAACACUUUUUAUAAGUGCAAACGACAAUUUUGAAGCUGGUUCUGCUGAAUAUGCAGUAGCUGCCUAGUUUAUAGGUAGUACAGCGCGGUUUGGGGCGGCCGGUCAACAGAACUGCCCCAGU
rnacentral:tmRNA from 1 species